GUCCUUGUCGAUUAGUGGUUAGAUCAUCACGUUGUGGUUGUUGUUGCCGCAAAUCCGUGAAGACGGAGGCUCGAAUCCUCCCUGGGACA